rnacentral:rRNA from 1 species
CCCUUAGAUGUUCUGGGCCGCACGCGCGCUACACUGACGAAGUCAGCGAGCAUGUCCUACGCCGACAGGUGCGGGGAAUCUUGUCAAACUUCGUCGUGAUGGGGAUUGAUUAUUGAAAUUCUUGAUCAUCAACGGGGAAUUCCUAGUAAGCGCAAGUCAGCAGCUUGCGUUGAUUACGUCCCUGCCCUUUGUACACACCGCCCGUCGCUACUACCGAUUGAAUGGUUUAGUGAGAUCUUCGGAUUGGCGCCACUGCGGCUCAGCAAUGGGCUCGGUGGAUGCCGAAAAGUUGAUCAAACUUGAUCAUUUAGAGGAAGUAAAAGUCGUAACA